AUACGUAGGUGACAAGCGUUAUCCGGAUUUACUGGGCGUAAAGGGCGUGUAGGCGGUCUUGCAAGUCAGAAGUGAAAGCCCGGGGCUUAACUCCGGCGAGCCUUGUGAACUGGCAGACUUGAGUGCAGGAGGGGAAAGUGGAAUUCCUAGUGUAGCGGGGAAAUGCGUAGAUAUUAGGAGGAACACCGGUGGCGAAGGCGACUUUCUGGACUGUAACUGACACUGAGGUACGAAAGCGUGGGGAGCAAACAGGAUUAGAUACCCUGGUAGUCCACGCCGUAAACGAUGAGCACUAGGUGUUGGCGUAGAAAUACGUCGGUGCCGAAGUUAACGCAUUAAGUGCUCCGCCUGGGGAGUACGCACGCAAGGGUGAAACUCAAAUGAAUUGGCGGGG
rnacentral:rRNA from 1 species